UGCCAGCAGCCGCGGUAAUACGAAGGGUGCUAGCGUUGUUCGGAAUUACUGGGCGUAAAGAGCAUGUAGGCGGUUUGUUAAGUCGGAUGUGAAAGCCCCGGGCUCAACCUGGGAACUGCAUCCGAUACUGGCCGACUAGAGUACGAGAGAGGGAGGUAGAAUUCCAUGUGUAGCGGUGAAAUGCGUAGAUAUAUGGAGGAAUACCGGUGGCGAAGGCGGCCUCCUGGCUCGAUACUGACGCUGAGGUGCGAAAGCGUGGGGAGCAAACAGGAUUAGAUA
rnacentral:rRNA from 1 species